AGUUCAGUUGGUAGAACACCGGACUGUUAAUCCGUAUGUCGCUGGUUCGAGUCCAGCC
rnacentral:tRNA from 1 species